AUGAUGCAUUAUGGAUCUGAGAUGAUGGUGCCGUUCGGACCAAAGGCAAUAACAAAUCUAUGUACAAGUUUUCUUAGAGAUGACACAAAGGAGGGUGACAUGAUUGAGACAAUUGCGCACUUCAAGGAUAUACAAAAAACCGAUCCAGACUUCUUCUAUAAGGUAAAAUAUGAUGAAGAGGACAAAGUUGUCAACAUAUUUUGGGUGGAUGGCUCAGCUCGAAAAGCUUAUUUGGAGGCGUACCACGAUUGCAUAUCGUUUGACACCACCUACAUGACCAACAUGUACAAUAUGCCGUUUGCGCCCUUCAUCGGAAUAAACCGACAUGGCCAAUCUUUCAUGCUGGGUUGGGCGCUUGUGAGGCAGGAGUUGGCAUCAAGCUUUGGUUGGGUCUUCCGAGCAUUCCUAGAGGCUAUGGAUGGCAAACCUCCUGACAACUUCAUAACCGAUCAGGAUGGUGCAAUGAGGCAGUCAAUACAGUGCAUCUUUCCAUCCAUAGUGCACCGCUGUUGUCGAUGGCACAUCAUGAAAAAGGCUCAAGAAAAAGUUGGUUGGCUGUUGUGCCGGAACCCAGGGCUCUCAGAUGAUUUCAACUACUGUGUUGACUUCAGCUUCACUAUAGACGAGUUUGAGCAGAAUUGGGUUGGGUUAAUGAUGAAGUACGAGGCUAUGACACACACACACUUUGAGAAGUUGUACGAAUACAUGUCAACUUGGGUUCCGUGCUACUUCAAACACAUGUUCUUCCCCUUCCUGCAGUCUACACAACGUAGUGAGGGGUUCAACGCCGUCCUAAAAAGAUAUGUGAACCCACACAAUUCAAUGCUGAACUUUGUCAAGCAAUAUGAAAAAAUUCAGAACCACAUCCUUCCCAAGGAAGGCUGCAAUGAUUACAGGACAGAACACCUUGAGAUUGAGCUAUGGUCCAACUUCCCAAUAGAGAGGCAAGCUUACGAAACCUACACUAGGGACCUUUACCACAAGUUCAGAGAAGAGUUUGUGCUGAUUGGACGUUAUAAUGCGUUCCUAGUUGGUGCUGACCUUUUUUUAGCUCAGACCGAACCAGAAAUUUGUUGGCAAAUAUGGUUCUCAAAACUACUUAGUGCAGGCAAGGGUGGGGGAGGGUUCCUAUUUGUGUGA
rnacentral:rRNA from 1 species